GGGUACAGUGUGUUGUAUAUUCAGGGGGUACAGUAUGUCAGAAUUAUAUUAGGAGGGUGUGUGCCAGUAUUAUAUUCAAAGAAUACAGUGUUUGGCAGUAUUAUAAUAAUUAUUGUUUUCAUAUAGAGGAUCAGAAUGCAUUGGCAUAGUGAGGAGACGUCUGGGCAUCAAGUUCUGCAGAGAGAAGAUUUAGCUGGAACAAAUCCUGGCGUGAGGGGCCGGUGCUGGACACUGUGUAGGGACGCGGGAAUGCAAAGUCAUACACAUGACUGUGACUGAUGCAGUAUCUCCAGGACAUGGAGUAGCAUUUCCGGACCUACAGCAAGACGUUGGAUGAAGGCAUAGCCCCAGAAAUAACACUGGUCCUGUUCAUCAGUGAGGGGCCGGUGCUGGACACUGUGUAGGGACGCGGGAAUGCAAAGUCAUACACAUGACUGUGACUGAUGCACUAUUUCCAGGACAUGGAGUAGCAUUUCGGGAACUACAGCAAGACGUUGGAUGAAGGCACAGGCCUAGGAAUCAUGCACAUACACAGAAACAUUUGCCCAAAUUCUAGAGGUAACCUCCUUUAGUAUGCCCAGAGGAAGGGCCAUACAGUAGCCAUGGAUUCCCUACAGGUUUCCUCCCCUCUGGAGGUUUUUCCUGUCCUGAGUAUUAGUUACUGUACGCUCUUUGUGAGUGAUGGGAGGUUACAAAAAAUCCCCUACACAAACAUUUUAAUAAAUAAUAAAUAAAGUUCCCCUUUUUUUAA